rnacentral:rRNA from 1 species
CAGCAGCCACGGUAAUACGUAGGGUGCAAGCGCUAAUCGGAAUUACUGGGCGUAAAGCGUGCGCAGGCGGUCCGCUAAGACAGAUGUGAAAUCCCCGGGCUUAACCUGGGAACUGCAUUUGUGACUGGCGGGCUAGAGUAUGGCAGAGGGGGGUAGAAUUCCACGUGUAGCAGUGAAAUGCGUAGAGAUGUGGAGGAAUACCGAUGGCGAAGGCAGCCCCCUGGGCCAAUACUGACGCUCAUGCACGAAAGCGUGGGGAGCAAACAGGAUUAGAUACCCCUGUAGUCCCUGUCUCUUAUAC